ensembl:snoRNA SNORA71 Small nucleolar RNA SNORA71
CCCUGUAUCGAAAGUGAUCAUGGCGUCUCUGUUGCCAGGUCAUUGAUAGUACAGGAAGAUGAACCUGAUAGCCUUUCCCGUGUCUGAAGGAAACUCAGUUCCUGUCAGACCCUGGCGCUCUCAGACA